UACGAAGGGGGCUAGCGUUGCUCGGAAUCACUGGGCGUAAAGCGCACGUAGGCGGCUUUCUAAGUCAGGGGUGAAAUCCUGGAGCUCAACUCCAGAACUGCCUUUGAUACUGGAGAGCUUGAGUCCGGGAGAGGUGAGUGGAACUCCGAGUGUAGAGGUGAAGUUCGUAGAUAUUCGCAAGAACACCAGUGGCGAAGGCGGCUCACUGGCCCGAUACUGACGCUGAGGCACGAAAGCGUGGGGAGCAAACAGG
rnacentral:rRNA from 1 species